ACGGAAGGCAGCAGUGGGGAAUAUUGCACAAUGGGCGCAAGCCUGAUGCAGCGAUGCCGCGUGAGGGAAGAAGGUUUUCGGAUUGUAAACCUCUGUCCUCAGGGACGAUAAUGACGGUACCUGAGGAGGAAGCUCCGGCUAACUACGUGCCAGCAGCCGCGGUAAUACGUAGGGAGCGAGCGUUGUCCGGAAUUACUGGGUGUAAAGGGUGCGUAGGCGGGGCGGCAAGUCAGAUGUGAAAUGUAUGGGCUCAACCCAUGAACUGCAUUUGAAACUGUUGCUCUUGAGUGAGGUAGAGGUAAGCGGAAUUCCUAGUGUAGUGGUGAAAUGCGUAGAUAUUAGGAGGAACACCAGUGGCGAAGGCGGCUUGCUGGACGACAACUGACGCUGAGGCGCGAAAGCGUGGGGAGCAAACAGGAUUAGAUACCCUGGUA
rnacentral:rRNA from 1 species